AUGAACGCUGGCGGCGUGCCUAAUACAUGCAAGUCGAGCGAACGGACGAGAAGCUUGCUUCUCUGAUGUUAGCGGCGGACGGGUGAGUAACACGUGGAUAACCUACCUAUAAGACUGGGAUAACUUCGGGAAACCGGAGCUAAUACCGGAUAAUAUUUUUAACCGCCUGGUUCAAAAGUGAAAGACGGUCUUGCUGUCACUUAUAGAUGGAUCCGCGCUGCAUUAGCUAGUUGGUAAGGUAACGGCUUACCAAGGCAACGAUGCAUAGCCGACCUGAGAGGGUGAUCGGCCACACUGGAACUGAGACACGGUCCAGACUCCUACGGGAGGCAGCAGUAGGGAAUCUUCCGCAAUGGGCGAAAGCCUGACGGAGCAACGCCGCGUGAGUGACGAAGGUCUUCGGAUCGUAAAACUCUGUUAUUAGGGAAGAACAUAUGUGUAAGUAACUGUGCACAUCUUGACGGUACCUAAUCAGAAAGCCACGGCUAACUACGUG
rnacentral:rRNA from 1 species